UACGUAGGUGGCAAGCGUUGUCCGGAAUUAUUGGGCGUAAAGCGCGCGCAGGCGGUCCUUUAAGUCUGAUGUGAAAGCCCACGGCUCAACCGUGGAGGGUCAUUGGAAACUGGCGAGCUAGAGUACGAAAGAGGAUCGCGGAAUUCCCGGUGUAGAGGUGAAAUUCGUAGAUAUCGGGAGGAACACCGGUGGCGAAGGCGGCGAUCUGGGUCGAUACUGACGCUGAGGCGCGAAAGCGUGGGGAGCAAACGGG
rnacentral:rRNA from 1 species